UACGGAGGGUGCGAGCGUUAAUCGGAAUUACUGGGCGUAAAGCGUGCGUAGGCGGUUUCUUAAGCGAGAUGUGAAAUCCCGGGGCUUAACCUGAGACGUGCAAUUCAAACUGUUUAUCUAGAGUUUUGGAGAGGGGAGUAGAAUUUCCGGAGUAGCGGUGAAAUGCGUAGAUUUCGGAAGGAAUACCGGUGGCGAAGGCGACUCUCUGGCCACAGACUGACACUGAGGUGCGAAAGCGUGGGGAGCAAACAGG
rnacentral:rRNA from 1 species